AUGGAGUUGGAUCAGGCCAACAUAAAGACGAUGUUCAGCAUGUCCCAACCAGAGCUUGACACCUGCGAUACAUUUGAAAUCCCUUCUCCUCCCCCUGUGACCACAAACCAGUACGAAUCAUAUUUCACCCUCCAUAACCAAUCCCAGUCAUCUGUCACCUUGAAUCCAGAAGCGAACAGCUCCGAGAUUUCUGACGUACAUAAGGAACCGCAGAAAGCACCUGUUCAUGAUAACUUCAAUCCAUCUGCCCCCACGACUCGUACAGAAACCACCUCCGCUGUCGAUUACCAAACUGUACCUAGCCUUCCAGCUAGACAGCCUCGAGCAACCGUGCUUGACACCUCAGAUCACAAAGCAGACGUUGUUAACUCCACAAGCAACGGUCCGUGUGAUAAUGACAUCCUCCAGGAGUCUCACACAAAAAGAGAAAUCUCUCUCUCUGAAUCCACCAUAAUGACAUUAUCACAUCAUCAACCUGAUGCGCCUGACAUAUCUGACAGUGCAACGCAAAAUGCUAAACUGUCCCUGGCAAGUGUUGACACCAAAAUUGACGCCACAAUUACAGAGUCAACCCCUGUCCCUCAAACUGACGACACAGCUCUCAACUCAGAUUUUGAUUCUGUCCGUCAAGUCUCAACUUCUCGUACUGACAUAUCUACUCCCGAAACUGUCACCUCAACCUCGGUUGUUAGCGGGGAGAAGAGUGCUCGUCCUGUCAGUGAAUAUGCCGUUUAUGGAGCGUUGUAUGACUCACUUUUCCCCCAGAGUUUUACCUUGGAGGUAUUGUCAUCCCUCUCAAACACUCCGCCUCAGAUACAUACCGAGGUAAUACAACUUAACACCAAAUCUGAGCCCGUCAUUAUUAAAACCCUUAAUGAAUGUCACUCAGAAACUAAUGUCAUACACUCUCGCCUGUCGACUUCACGUGAGUUUGAAUCUGCUUCUCGGAGAAUGGAUGACACUGUAAGUGAGUACACUAACGUAAAUGCAACCUUCAGUGAGAGAAAGGUCAUUUCUUCUAGCGAGAGCUCCAGAUUGACCUCUUACCAAACCUCUACUGCUUAUGAGCCUCAGAGAGAAUCGGAUAUCAACCACAGACAUCUGCCUUCCUCUCUCAAAUCAGGUUCUGAACCAGUUGACGGUGAUAAAAUCCCUCACUCAGAGCUGACCCGCCCCCUUUCAGAGGCGAAAUCAGACAGUUUUAGCCUCAUUCAAGACAAUGUCAGGUCAGUCCCUGUGGUUCAAAGCUCUACCCCUCCCGUUUCUGAAUAUGUAACAUCCCAAGGGGCAGACUCUCAGCUUACUGCUUCCAAACGGAGGGUGAUCCUAGUUAAAGAGUUCGUCACAGACGAAGCGAGCACAGAUCCUGUCUGUCCCUCUCCCGUGCCUGAAAAGUUUAGCGCAACAAAGGGACUUGAGAUAAGAAUCGAGACAAGAGAGACUAUUUUUGCUCCUUCUGGACAGAUGGAUGGCUCUGAUGGGCCUUUAAGUCCGGCAUAUCUGAGCGUAGGAUCAGAUGACGCCAGUGUUGCGGAGAUCUACUUCAGUGCUGAAGAGGACAACGCAGAGGGGAGCGGGGAUGAAGAGAUGUACACGAUGGACGACAGGGAAGAAAUGUCUGUCAUACACGCGAUGACAGAAGCUGAGUUUCCAGAGCAAGGGGAGAUUGCAGAAAGCAGGAUAAGAAAGACCAAUGAGGGAGAAUUUUGGGAGGUGCAGAAUGAGGCAGGUAAAAUAGGCAAUGAAGAAAAGAAAGAGGAUGUCAAUAGCCAAACUGAAGUGGAGCAACAAGUAGCAGGUCAGAUAUCAGAGGCUCAAGUGGAGGAGAUUGGAACUUCUGAGUUUCUUCCAGGCAGUGAUGCAAAGAGUCUGAAGAAAGAAGUAGCAACCACUGGUGUUACCACAGGUGAA
rnacentral:lncRNA from 1 species